ACUUUUACAAAAGAAAAUAAAAGUUAAUGUCCUUUAUUUACCUACUAUAGUUCUAACCACACACAGGCUUAGUUAGAAUUAGACUAGCAUAAGAAUUAGAAGUGUUUGUAAUGAAAAUAUGAAGUGGGAAAUACCAAGUUAAAUAGUUCUUAAUAAUACUAGUGACAAACACAGUAUCUUUCAAAUUGGUAUUUUAUUGUGCUAUAAAUCUCUCAACCUUUUCCUGUAUAAGUGUUAAAACAUAUAUUUAAACUCUUUGCUGAGGGGAUUUCCAUGUAUGAAGUUAUAGGAGGAAGUUACUUCCAUCAACCAGAAAAGAAGUGAUUUUUAUGGGAAAAGCUGCCCUUCUUGACAACUCAUUUCCUCUGAUCUUAUUCCUCUGCCAUGUUCCAUUUACCUUGGAAUCAUUAAAAUGUAGAUGCUUUAAUACUCUCAAACAAACUAAUUGGUAGCAGGAAUAGUGUACACCCGUAGGGAGACCACUGGGUGAUGUAACAAUGCCAUGUAGUUGCAGGGAAUGCUAAAGCUGUGUAAUAUAUAGGUUAGUCAUCAUUGAGUGAAACUAGCCAGCAUAUGCUGGCCAAGAUCACUUCUGCAACAGCUGUGCAGAGAUUUCAAUUAUUUUCCAAUGGAUUAUUGAUGAAAACCCGAAGGAUCACUGCACAAAACUUCUGUAUCACUCAAAGCUAUUACAAGGUGGAAUUCAGAUAGGUGUUGCAGAAGCAUGGGGAAUAGUGCUUCAAGCUGCUCUACAGGAAUAGUUUAGGAUCAGUCAUCUGAAGAUUCCUUCAAGACAAUGUUGUGAGCAGUAAAGAUACAGAAACAGAUAUGUUCUCAAGGACAUUGUAUUCCAACAGGUGGGAAAAGGUAUAUGCAAAAAUAACCACAUAAGGCACUCAACCCUUUUCCAGCCUGUCUAUUUACAAAAUGGGGGUGAUAAUAGCACCACUCCUCCCAAGGUUGUUGAUCAAAUAAGAUAACAUUUAAGCCACUCUGCAAACCUUAAAGCCCUCUCUAAAUGCUAGCUACUCUUAACAAUUAUUAAUAGGUAGUCUAUAAUGGAUUACUAUCCAGUUGUUCAUAAAAUUAUUGGUUGUUUGAAUUAAAACCUGCUUCUGUGCAAAGACAAAACAAAUCCAAUUUGUUAAAUAUUUCAUGUUAGGUGUUGUUAAAAAUGAAUUACAAUUAUAAAAAUAUUUUUCAAUAGAUAACUACCAAGUUGGAGGUAAGAAUUAUUUAUAAAAAACCAAUUCACAAUAGAAAGUGGAGUAAUAAAUUAUUAUGUUGUCAUGGGAGAGUUUUGGGGUGAAAAACCCCAGGCUCUAGAUAGGUUAUCUUUUGCAAGAAUGUAAGUCUCCAAAACUUACCUUAAAAAUAAAAAGAGAGAUCUUUCUGGUGGAUCCAAGGUGGAAGGGUAACUAUAGUAGCACCUCUCUAUUUCACCAUGAAAAUCCUCUCUGACCAAGAGUAAAAUAUCACCAUAAAUUGAAUACAGGUGUGAAAGAAUCAAUAAGGAGACAGAGUGAAACAACCCUCAAAAGAGGAGAAACUCAAAAGGUAGGCAGAGACCAUCUGGAGAACUGGGAUGGGAGGGGAACAGAGCUAGCAGGAGGCAUAGCAGCAAGUGCAAGCCAAGAGCAAACUACAACACCCCCCUCCCCCCCCACACACACACAUCUGCUCUCACAGAUUCCGAACUUAAGUCCUCAUUAAGUCAGACCCUGAGAUCCUACAGGGCAAAUAGUGUCCAAGCCAACUCACACCCUUUGAAAUUUCAAACCUGUGGAGAAGUCCAGAGUCCUAGCCCAGGGCAAUCUGGGCUGAAGGGGGCUGAUCCAGGUGAGCCCAGAGUAAGCCAGUCUAGGUUUGGGAUGAGGACCCAGUUCUCAGGGGGGAGCCUCCCAGAGAUCUUUUUGCCCAAAACUAAGGGUGAAGCUCCAGGACAGGGCAAUCAAGGGUGUGCCUGAUUGAAUAAAGAAGACAUUGAGACUAAAAAAUUGAGCCUAAGCCUGGGGUUAGAAUCUUAUCAGCACCUGACCUGAUCAAGUUCAGACUGAGAUCAAAAGCUUACACCCAAGUCUGAAGAAAGUCUUUAAGCUAUCAUCUAAAGGAUCAAUAGAAUCAGCAGGGGGAGGGGGCUUUCAGAGCUUUCAGCCCCCAGACCAUCUGGCAAACUAGUAAAAACCCAGAAAAUAAGCCAAAAAGAGCAUCAAGGAAGUAUUGAGGUUUAAGAGGGUACCCCAACUUCCCAGAAAACAGAGUCUAACUAUAAUUAGAAAGGAAAAAUGAGCAAAAAAAAACCACCUAACUCUAAAGAAUUUUUAUGGAAACAAAGAGCAAGAUGCAGACACAGAAAGGGACAGCAAAAUCAAAGGAAACACACGUGCAAAGUCCAAAAGAAAAAUAUGGAUUGGACACAGAUUCUGGAAGAGCUCAAAAAAGACUUCAAAAACCAAUUAAGAGAGGUAGAGGAAAAGUGGGGAAGAGAAAUGAAACUGAUACAAGAAGAAAAGGAAAGAGAUGCAAGAAGAAAUAUGCCAUUUGAAAAAGGAGAACCAAAAACUGACAGUGGAAAACCAGUCCUUAAAAAUCAGAAAAAAAUAAAAAAAAAAGAGAAAUUUAUUAAUUUGCAAGUCAUAUCAACUGGCUGGGGAGACAGUAUGCAGGUGGAGCACUGAAUCCUCCAGGAGAUGGGGUAUGAAGAUGUUAUGCUUCUUUGAUAGCAGGGGUUAAACGAUAAGAAAAGGGGGAUGGGGUGAAUUUGGA